UGCCUUCAUUAGUUUGCUAGGAGGUGUUGUCAAUUUAUUUUGAGCUGAAUCACCGAUCCCUCACAGAAUUAUAAUACAGUAGAGUUGGAAGUGACCUUUGUAGACUUUUCUUCUAACCUCCUACCUGGCAGAGAAAUCUCUCCUACCUUCUCCAUGUUUAGAGGGUCAUACAAUAUGGCCUUAGGUACUUCUGAUAACAGGGAAUUCACUAACUUGUGAAACAGGAUAUUUUAUUUAUAGUCUGUUCUAUUCCUUAGGAAGAUCUCUUUGUAUAACCAGGACUCCUUAGAAUUUUCAUCUCACUUGGUUCCCAUUCUGAUUGGCAACUUCACAGGACAAACCUACUCCUUUUUUUGUUUUCCCAGCUGGCCAGCUACUUUGUUGUUUUUUUUUUUUUAAUUGAUUCUCUGUUUUUCAUCCCAUAUUCAGAUUUUCAUUGGAAAACUGGGCACUGAUGCCUCUGGAAAGUAAUCUUGAAGAGUCUGUGGUAAAAGGAGUGAGGAAGAAAAAAAUAUCUACAUCUUUUAAACAGUGUUAUAGUAAACGUAGAUGAAUGGCCCAGUUUCCUUGAACUAAGCCACUCUCUCAAAGUUUCCAUCACCUCCCAAUAGCACCAUCAGUUGAGGAGUUUGGGGGAAACAUUUAAAAUCUAAACCAUAACAUGAGGGUUACUAUUUUGAUUGAAACCCAGGUGUGUAUUUUAAUUAUAUACUAAUUAGAACUGGUAUGUUUGUAAUGCAGGUUGGCUGGGCUAAUUAGAUCUAUGAAUCAAAACUAGAUAUUCAGGGGUUAGAGAUAUGGCUCAGUUGGUAGAGUGCUUGCCUUGCAUGCACAAGUCCCUGGGUUCAAUCCCCAGCACCACAAAAAAAUAGAUAUUCAGAAAUAGGUUUAAAUAAAUUCCUACUCCCAGUUCUUAGCUGUAUGUUCAGCUGCCUCCACAGGAGAGUGAAGUCUGAAGUGGCGUGGGGUGGGGGUGCUAUGCAGGGUAGGAGAACAGAAAUCUUUAGGUCAUUCUUCAGGCUCAUACUCCUCCCAAUCUUGCAGAUACUGGAGCUUCUUUUGGCAUCAGUAAGAGCUUAGGAUAGCCUGAAAUAUUCAUAUGUUCAAUUUCCAUAUCUAUAUUUGUGAAGAAAUUAGAGACCAGGGAGAGUAGGAACUGUUAGGCACUGAGUUCACUUUCAUGAAAUGUUGGACCUAGAGACAGAAGGUCUCAUGGUUACUGCUCAGGCCUUUCUCCUGGAAGUCAUCAGACCUUUCUCCACACCACAACAUUGGCUUCAUAUAAAAACAAGUCUCUGAGGCCCACACAUUUUUUCAUUAUAUCAUGGACUACCUGCCCCAACCUGCCUUGGUCUUUGCCUGCCAACUUAUUCUUGAUCUUCCCAGUUUCUGACCUUAUAACCUAUCAUUGCCAGUAAAGCUUCAACACUCAAUUUUAGCACUGCUCCCUCAACUCUGGCCUUUAUAUUACAGACUCACCAAUGAUUUGAAUUCUCUCUUGGAUUACUCAUCAUUGGCUUUUAAACACAAGAGGAAGCUAUUGGUAGUGAAGGUCAUCUUUGAAAUGAAAAGGCAAGACCUCAUGAGAUCAUGAAGUAAAUAUUACUAAAAGCCUCUGGGAACCUACAGAUAAAAUGGGAUCUGUUCUUCUGGAGUUGAUUUCAAAACUACGUAGACAAGAUCAUAACCUACCAGUACAGAUAGUUUUUCUUCUUCCUUUAAAAUCUGGAUUCAUUUUUUUCUCUUUUUUUCUUGUCUAAUUGCCCUAGCUGGAAUCACCAACACAAUGUUGACUAGAAGUGACAACACCAGACCAUUUUUUUCUUGUUCCAGAUCUUAUAGGGGAAGCAUUUAGUCUUUAAGUAUGCUGUUUUUAUCAUGGCAGUAUACUGAAUUUUGUCAAAGCUUUUAUGGGACCACUGAGAAGAUCAUGCUUUUUUGUCCAUUAUUUAGUUAAUGUAUUAUAUUACAUGUAUUGAUUUUUGUAUAUUUAAUCAACA
rnacentral:lncRNA from 1 species